rnacentral:rRNA from 1 species
GAUGAACGCUGGCGGCGUGCCUAAUACAUGCAAGUCGAGCGAACGGACGAGAAGCUUGCUUCUCUGAUGUUAGCGGCGGACGGGUGAGUAACACGUGGAUAACCUACCUAUAUGACUGGGAUAACUUCGGGAAACCGGAGCUAAUACCGGAUAAUAUUUUGAACCGCAUGGUUCAAAAGUGAAAGACGGUCUUGCUGUCACUUAUAGAUGGAUCCGCGCUGCAUUAGCUAGUUGGUAAGGUAACGGCUUACCAAGGCAACGAUGCAUAGCCGACCUGAGAGGGUGAUCGGCCACACUGGAACUGAGACACGGUCCAGACUCCUACGGGAGGCAGCAGUAGGGAAUCUUCCGCAAUGGGCGAAAGCCUGACGGAGCAACGCCGCGUGAGUGAUGAAGGUCUUCGGAUCGUAAAACUCUGUUAUUAGGGAAGAACAUAUGUGUAAGUAACUGUGCACAUCUUGACGGUACCUAAUCAGAAAGCCACGGCUAACUACGUGCCAGCAGCCGCGGUAAUACGUAGGUGGCAAGCGUUAUCCGGAAUUAUUGGGCGUAAAGCGCGCGUAGGCGGUUUUUUAAGUCUGAUGUGAAAGCCCACGGCUCAACCGUGGAGGGUCAUUGGAAACUGGAAAACUUGAGUGCAGAAGAGGAAAGUGGAAUUCCAUGUGUAGCGGUGAAAUGCGCAGAGAUAUGGAGGAACACCAGUGGCGAAGGCGACUUUCUGGUCUGUAACUGACGCUGAUGUGCGAAAGCGUGGGGAUCAAACAGGAUUAGAUACCCUGGUAGUCCACGCCGUAAACGAUGAGUGCUAAGUGUUAGGGGGUUUCCGCCCCUUAGUGCUGCAGCUAACGCAUUAAGCACUCCGCCUGGGGAGUACGACCGCAAGGUUGAAACUCAAAGGAAUUGACGGGGACCCGCACAAGCGGUGGAGCAUGUGGUUUAAUUCGAAGCAACGCGAAGAACCUUACCAAAUCUUGACAUCCUUUGACAACUCUAGAGAUAGAGCUUUCCCCUUCGGGGGACAAAGUGACAGGUGGUGCAUGGUUGUCGUCAGCUCGUGUCGUGAGAUGUUGGGUUAAGUCCCGCAACGAGCGCAACCCUUAAGCUUAGUUGCCAUCAUUAAGUUGGGCACUCUAAGUUGACUGCCGGUGACAAACCGGAGGAAGGUGGGGAUGACGUCAAAUCAUCAUGCCCCUUAUGAUUUGGGCUACACACGUGCUACAAUGGACAAUACAAAGGGCAGCGAAACCGCGAGGUCAAGCAAAUCCCAUAAAAUUGUUCUCAGUUCGGAUUGUAGUCUGCAACUCGACUACAUGAAGCUGGAAUCGCUAGUAAUCGUAGAUCAGCAUGCUACGGUGAAUACGUUCCCGGGUCU